rnacentral:lncRNA from 1 species
AGGUAAAUGUGGCAGUGUGAGUGAGAAUGCUUGAUAACAUGUGAAUAAUUAUGUGAGAGGUGAUUAUCAGUCAAAAAUUACCUUUUAUUCCAAUGCCCACCCUUUUCUACUUCACUCAAGUACUCUUUUCAAUCUCCUUUUCAGAAUUCGUAUUUCCUUUUCUUUACCCCAUAAUCCUUUGUGCUUUUAUGAUUAAAAGAAUUCUGUAUGUGUUCCCAAGCCCAGAGCUGCUGGUAGGCUCCAGCAAGGGAGAUGCUGUGCGGCCUGUUUCACCAGGUUUAGCACAGUAAGCUGGGAAAACCCAAGGGAAAAAGCCUUUGGGAUGUCGAUGAGUGUGGAAGGUAGGGUGUCAUUGGAGCUAUCACUAUUCAGCAAAAGAAGGGAACUGUGAAGGUGGAGGAUAUAGCAUUUCCUUCUUUAACAAAAGCAGGCUUGGUGUGGGAACAGUGGGCUCUAUAAUGUAAUGAAAACUAUUUUCAGAUACUAUUGAAAUUAAAAUGUAUUAUUGCAGUGUAUGGCUUAAUGUAAUGGUAACUUUAUUUCUUACCAGGCUCAUAUUGGCAACUUAUUAACAUCAAAAUUCUUCAGUUAUAAGGAUUUUGAUACUUUAUUAUAUACCUGUGCAGCAGAGUUUGACUUUAUGGAAAAAGAGACUCCACUGAGAUACACAAAGACAUUAUUGUUUCCAGUUGUUCUUGUAGUGUUUGUUGCUAUUGUUAGAAAGAUUAUUAGUGAUAUGUGGGGUGUCUUAGCUAAACAACAGACACACAUAAGGUAAAUAUGCUAUUAAGAAUUUUGUUACCUCCUCUGUUCAUUUAUUAAAUAGAUAUUUACAGUGUAUUAAUUUUAUACUCACAUGUUGUGUACCUAAUAUUUGAUAAUUGAUGUUUUUAUUGUGGUCAUUUCCCUUCUUGGUGUUUCUUCUUAUUUCCUAUCUGUGCAGAACACAGCACAUCACUUAUUCAUCCUUCAGAUGUUAUCCAGUACAAUCUGACAGUAGCCCUGCACAUAAUCUACACUCGAAGGACACAGUUUUAUACUUCAGUUCAGCAGGGAAAGUAAAUUAUUAUGUGAGUGGUUUUAGGACCAGUGGACUGCCUUUUGGGAAAUGAGCAGGGAAAUAUAAAACUGGAUUCAUACCUCACUUUUUGCAGAAAAUAAAUUUCAGAUGAAGCAGAGAAUUAGGUAUAGAAAAAAAAUAAAGCCCCAA